GGCGGUGUAGCUCAGGGGUUAGAGCGAGCGACUCAUAAUCGCUAGGUCGGUGGUUCGAUCCCACCCACCGCCACCA
rnacentral:tRNA from 1 species